rnacentral:tRNA from 1 species
GGAGGAGUCGCAUAGUGGCCAUUGCAAUAGUCUUGAAAACUAUAACCUCGCAAGGGGUUCGUGGGUUCGAGUCCCACCUCCUCCG